rnacentral:tRNA from 1 species
GAGUCUAUAGCUCAGUUGGUUAGAGCGCUUCGUUGACAUCGAAGAGGUCAGAGGUUCGAAUCCUCUUAGACUCA